rnacentral:rRNA from 1 species
GACGAACGCUGGCGGCGUGCUUAACACAUGCAAGUCGAACGGAAAGGCCCUGCUUUUGUGGGGUGCUCGAGUGGCGAACGGGUGAGUAACACGUGAGUAACCUGCCCUUGACUUUGGGAUAACUUCAGGAAACUGGGGCUAAUACCGGAUAGGAGCUCCUGCUGCAUGGUGGGGGUUGGAAAGUUUCGGCGGUUGGGGAUGGACUCGCGGCUUAUCAGCUUGUUGGUGGGGUAGUGGCUUACCAAGGCUUUGACGGGUAGCCGGCCUGAGAGGGUGACCGGCCACAUAGGGAAAGAGAUACGGCCCAGACGCCUACGGGAGGCAGCAGUGGGGAAUAUUGCACAAUGGGCGGAAGCCUGAUGCAGCAACGCCGCGUGCGGGAGGACGGCCUUCGGGUUGGAAACCGCUUUCGCCUGUGACGAAGCGUGAGUGACGGUAAUGGGUAAAGAAGCACCGGCUAACUACGU